rnacentral:rRNA from 1 species
UACGAAGGAUUCGAGCGUUAUCCGGAUUUAUUGGGUUUAAAGGGUGCGUAGGUGGACUAAUAAGUCAGUGGUGAAAGCCCGCAGCUUAACUGCGGAACUGCCAUUGAUACUGUUAGUCUUGAGUACAGUUGAGGUGGGCGGAAUGUGUCAUGUAGCGGUGAAAUGCUUAGAUAUGACACAGAACACCGAUUGCGAAGGCAGCUCACUAAGCUGUAACUGACACUGAGGCACGAAAGCGUGGGGAGCAAAACGG